GAUGAACGCUGGCUACAGGCUUAACACAUGCAAGUCGAGGGGAAACGGCAUUGAGUGCUUGCACUGAAUGGACGUAGACCGGCGCACGGGUGAGUAACGCGUAUCCCGCCUUCCCGUUACUGCGGGAUAACCUGCCGAAAGGCAGACUAAUACCGCAUGUCCUUCGAUGACGGCAUCAGAUUCUAGGCCAAGAUCCGUCGGUAACGGAGGGGGAUGCGUCUGCUUAGCUAGUGGGCGGGGCGACGGCCCACCAAGGCGACGUUCAGUAGGGGUUAUGAGAGGAAGGUCCCCCACAAUGGAACUGAGACACGGUCCAAAAUCCUACGGGAGGCAGCAGUAAGGAAUAUUGGUAGAUGAGCGGAAGCCUGAACCAGCCAAGUAGCGUGAAGGAGGACGGCCCUACGGGUUGUAAACUGCUUUUAAGCGAGGAUAAAGUGAGGGACGCGUCCCUUCUUGCAGGUACCGCAUGAAUAAGGACCGGCUAAUUCCGUG
rnacentral:rRNA from 1 species